GACACACACACACCCACACUGCAUACCAGCACACCACGUGGCAGCCACGAGGCAGAGACACCAUCAUAUUGCUCAGACACAAGCCAGUGCCUCUAUGUCUGCAGUGGCAACGGUGGCACAGAGCUCCAGAUGGACCUCCAGGGUGAACUCUGCUUGCUGUUUUUAUGUCUCCCUCAGGAUCUCUGCCUUGAAUGAAUUCCUCCACCACAGUUCACACUACAUUUAUUCCAAGGACCCCAGGAAGACCAAAAAAUCGGUAGUGGACAUGGACUGUUCUCAUUACAGAAUCUGCAAGUAGAAAGUUCAUUGCUCAAAAAA